rnacentral:rRNA from 1 species
GGGUUGUGAGGUUAAGCGACUAAGCGUACACGGUGGAUGCCCCGGCAGUCAGAGGCGAUGAAGGACGUGCUAAUCUGCGAUAAGCGUCGGUGAGGUGAUAUGAACCGUUAUAACCGGCGAUUUCCGAAUGGGGAAACCCAGUGUGAUUCGUCACACUAUCAUUAACUGAAUCCAUAGGUUAAUGAGGCGAACCGGGGGAACUGAAACAUCUAAGUACCCCGAGGAAAAGAAAUCAACCGAGAUUCCCCCAGUAGCGGCGAGCGAACGGGGAGCAGCCCAGAGCCUGAAUCAGUGUGUGUGUUAGUGGAAGCGUCUGGAAAGGCGCGCGAUACAGGGUGACAGCCCCGUACACAAAAAUGCACAUACUGUGAGCUCGAUGAGUAGGGCGGGACACGUGGUAUCCUGUCUGAAUAUGGGGGACCAUCCUCCAAGGCUAAAUACUCCUGACUGACCGAUAGUGAACCAGUACCGUGAGGGAAAGGCGAAAAGAACCCCGGCGAGGGGAGUGAAAAAGAACCUGAAACCGUGUACGUACAAGCAGUGGGAGCACGCUUCGGCGUGUGACUGCGUACCUUUUGUAUAAUGGGUCAGCGACUUAUAUUCUGUAGCAAGGUUAACCGAAUAGGGGAGCCGAAGGGAAACCGAGUCUUAACUGGGCGUUAAGUUGCAGGGUAUAGACCCGAAACCCGGUGAUCUAGCCAUGGGCAGGUUGAAGGUUGGGUAACACUAACUGGAGGACCGAACCGACUAAUGUUGAAAAAUUAGCGGAUGACUUGUGGCUGGGGGUGAAAGGCCAAUCAAACCGGGAGAUAGCUGGUUCUCCCCGAAAGCUAUUUAGGUAGCGCCUCGUGAAUUCAUCUCCGGGGGUAGAGCACUGUUUCGGCAAGGGGGUCAUCCCGACUUACCAACCCGAUGCAAACUGCGAAUACCGGAGAAUGUUAUCACGGGAGACACACGGCGGGUGCUAACGUCCGUCGUGAAGAGGGAAACAACCCAGACCGCCAGCUAAGGUCCCAAAGUCAUGGUUAAGUGGGAAACGAUGUGGGAAGGCCCAGACAGCCAGGAUGUUGGCUUAGAAGCAGCCAUCAUUUAAAGAAAGCGUAAUAGCUCACUGGUCGAGUCGGCCUGCGCGGAAGAUGUAACGGGGCUAAACCAUGCACCGAAGCUGCGGCAGCGACGCUUAUGCGUUGUUGGGUAGGGGAGCGUUCUGUAAGCCUGUGAAGGUGUACUGUGAGGUAUGCUGGAGGUAUCAGAAGUGCGAAUGCUGACAUAAGUAACGAUAAAGCGGGUGAAAAGCCCGCUCGCCGGAAGACCAAGGGUUCCUGUCCAACGUUAAUCGGGGCAGGGUGAGUCGACCCCUAAGGCGAGGCCGAAAGGCGUAGUCGAUGGGAAACAGGUUAAUAUUCCUGUACUUGGUGUUACUGCGAAGGGGGGACGGAGAAGGCUAUGUUGGCCGGGCGACGGUUGUCCCGGUUUAAGCGUGUAGGCUGGUUUUCCAGGCAAAUCCGGAGAAUCAAGGCUGAGGCGUGAUGACGAGGCACUACGGUGCUGAAGCAACAAAUGCCCUGCUUCCAGGAAAAGCCUCUAAGCAUCAGGUAACAUUAAAUCGUACCCCAAACCGACACAGGUGGUCAGGUAGAGAAUACCAAGGCGCUUGAGAGAACUCGGGUGAAGGAACUAGGCAAAAUGGUGCCGUAACUUCGGGAGAAGGCACGCUGAUACGUAGGUGAAGUCCCUCGCGGAUGGAGCUGAAAUCAGUCGAAGAUACCAGCUGGCUGCAACUGUUUAUUAAAAACACAGCACUGUGCAAACACGAAAGUGGACGUAUACGGUGUGACGCCUGCCCGGUGCCGGAAGGUUAAUUGAUGGGGUCAGCGCAAGCGAAGCUCUUGAUCGAAGCCCCGGUAAACGGCGGCCGUAACUAUAACGGUCCUAAGGUAGCGAAAUUCCUUGUCGGGUAAGUUCCGACCUGCACGAAUGGCGUAAUGAUGGCCGUGCUGUCUCCACCCGAGACUCAGUGAAAUUGAACUCGCUGUGAAGAUGCAGUGUACCCGCGGCAAGACGGAAAGACCCCGUGAACCUUUACUAUAGCUUGACACUGAACAUUGAGCCUUGAUGUGUAGGAUAGGUGGGAGGCUUUGAAGUGUGGACGCCAGUCUGCAUGGAGCCGACCUUGAAAUACCACCCUUUAAUGUUUGAUGUUCUAACGUAGACCCGUGAUCCGGGUUGCGGACAGUGUCUGGUGGGUAGUUUGACUGGGGCGGUCUCCUCCUAAAGAGUAACGGAGGAGCACGAAGGUUGGCUAAUCCUGGUCGGACAUCAGGAGGUUAGUGCAAUGGCAUAAGCCAGCUUGACUGCGAGCGUGACGGCGCGAGCAGGUGCGAAAGCAGGUCAUAGUGAUCCGGUGGUUCUGAAUGGAAGGGCCAUCGCUCAACGGAUAAAAGGUACUCCGGGGAUAACAGGCUGAUACCGCCCAAGAGUUCAUAUCGACGGCGGUGUUUGGCACCUCGAUGUCGGCUCAUCACAUCCUGGGGCUGAAGUAGGUCCCAAGGGUAUGGCUGUUCGCCAUUUAAAGUGGUACGCGAGCUGGGUUUAGAACGUCGUGAGACAGUUCGGUCCCUAUCUGCCGUGGGCGCUGGAGAACUGAGGGGGGCUGCUCCUAGUACGAGAGGACCGGAGUGGACGCAUCACUGGUGUUCGGGUUGUCAUGCCAAUGGCACUGCCCGGUAGCUAAAUGCGGAAGAGAUAAGUGCUGAAAGCAUCUAAGCACGAAACUUGCCCCGAGAUGAGUUCUCCCUGACCCUUUAAGGGUCCUGAAGGAACGUUGAAGACGACGACGUUGAUAGGCCGGGUGUGUAAGCGCAGCGAUGCGUUGAGCUAACCGGUACUAAUGAACCGUGAGGCUUAACCUUACAACGCCGAAGGUGUUU